GGUUGCUUUCAUGUCUUGGCUAUUGUAAAUAAUGCUGCAAUGAAUAUUGUUUCAUGAUUUAUAUGUCAAUAGGGCUUGAAAAUUCUUCUUUCCUUCUCCAUUUUCUAAAAUAGUCCCUGGCGUUUAAUAGGUACUCCAUAAAUAUUUAAUGAAUGAGUGGGUAGGUGGAUGGAUGAAAGUGUUUGUUUCCUCAGAGAUGAACCUCUGCAGGCACAGUCUACCUGUCAUUGUGGCUUCAAGGAACAAAAUAGGUAUGAGGCAUGGUUUUCCUUGAAUUUGCAUACAAAUGGUAAAAUGGCAAAUGAGAUCUCUGAAUUAAGAGCCAGCAGAGAACUUACAGAGCAUUUAACCUGGAGAUUUCCAAACACAGGUCUGCAGCUGGGGCCAGAACAAUGCAAAGUUUUCACCAGUUUGCAGUGAGAUGAGAAAAUUAAAAAUACAGUGAGUGUUCAUGGAUCUACAUGAAUUCUCUGCUAGAAUUCUUAGAUUAGGUCUUUCUACUUUAUUUGGCAUUAAAACAUCCUUUCUUUUAUAAAAUGAUGGUAAUAGUGGAUGCUAGCCUUUCCUUGGCAAAACGAAAAGAUCCUAAGUCCCCCACAUUUUGGGAGGUUGGGGAGGGGAAGUUUAAUUAGUCUGUGAAAUCCCAACAUCUGGAGCCAUGGUUUAACUCAUCUAUGUCUUUUGAAAAAAAUUCACUGAAAUCAACCUAUUGGUUUUAAGUGAGACACUGGGCUGCUUAAAAGAAUUAGCUCAUUUCAGCAAAUGAUAAGAUGCCUCAAGCCCUACAGGCACCUCUCUGUCUUGUCUCUUCAGAGCAGGGAUCCAGGCUGGGCCUCAGCAGGGAUCCAGGCUGAGUCUUGCAGUAAUGCCAUGACUAGGCUAUAGGAGAUUUCCUAAAUCCAGGUCAGUCCCUGUAACAGGAGUACAGAAGCCAAUACAUUGAUGUCUCAUACAUUUUCUUCUGUUGCAGACGUAGUUGCUGCUUUGUCUUUAGGCGAAACAUAUAUAUGCUCUGACUGUGUAAAUACAGAGCCCCUCUCUGAGCUAUGAGAAUUCUAGUUGGUGUGGGAAAAAAAAGACUCUGCAUAGACACAUCUGCACAAUCACGUCUCCUUUCUCCGAAUCCCCUCAGCUCCUACUAUCUAUGCCACACAGCAUAGCCCUUGGUUUUUACAUUGUCUUCUGUGCUCUGUUUAUUAUUCACAAGUCUUAUCUCCCCUAAAGAAUGGGAACACUCUAUUUGAAUCCUGUUAUUAAUUGAUAAAUUUUCUUUUUGUCAACACAAUCUUUUUUGGAGGCUGUUGGCCGCUCACGGUUCUACAUAUGUCAGGGAGAUCAGAGAUUCUGUCGACCUGGUUUCCAGCCCUGGCUCUGUGACUGGUGGAUGACCAGUGUACGAGUGAGCACUGACUCUCACAGCACCUGGAUCCCUGUCACUAAGAGGGAGUAACAGCACUGACCUGCCUCAUGGAGCGAAGUGCUAUAUGCGUUAACUGCGUAAUGAUGCUAAAGCUCUUCGAGAAUAUAAACGUGAAACAUUAUCAUUAUGGUUAAUACUAGUCUUCGGUUUUCAAGUUUUUUUUCCUUGAAGAGGAGAGGCAGAAAGAUUAUUUAAAGAAACAGUGAACAGAAGGCUACAGUUUGUUCUUAAUUCAUGACUGACUUUGAUCAGAAUGUCAUAAGCAGUGGGAAUGCGGUCUUGAAGUCCUGAAGGUAACUAUUUCUACUUCAGGGCAUGAAGGCUUCUCUUUAGGAAGAGAAAUAGUGUUUCCUAAAAGCUUCUACUACAAAAGAGGCCAAGCUGAGUAGACAGAGCUGGCCUCAGUCUUGAACAUCUUGCCAUGGAAGGACCCAGAAGCAGGAGAGACUGCAAUGAUUUUUUAAAGUCCCUACAGUUUUUUUAGAAUUUCAAGAGUGAAAGGAUUCUUGGAGAUCCAAAAAUCCUUGUUCAGUGUCCUUUCCACUUGUCACAGGCAUCAGUGGAUCCCCAGUGGUAUGUCUCCUAUUGCUUCUGUAACAAAUUACCACAAUCUUAGUGGCUUAAAGCAACACAAAUUUAUUAUUUUGCAGUUCUGGAGGCCACAAGUCUGAAAAGAGUCUUAAGGGGCUAAAAUGAAGGUGUUAGCAGGGCUGGUUCCUUCUGGAUCCGGGGGAGACUCUGUUCCUUGCCUCUUUCAGCUCUGGUGGCUGCCCACAUUCCUUGGCUUGUUGCCACAUCACUGCAAUCUCUGCUCCCAUCAUCACAUGGCCUUCUCUUCUCUAUCAAAUCUCCCUCUUCCUCCCUCUUAUAAGGAGCCUUUUGAUUACAUUGGACCCACCUGGAUAAUCCAGGAUAAUCUCCCCAUCUCAAAAUCCAGACCAAGGGAACAGUAACAGCCAUGAGGUCAGCACGCUGCGGGGGAUGCAGGAGGAGGGGGCAGUAGGAGAAGAGCUCGCUGAAGGGUGUGGUGGUGGGGUGGGUUGUGGGGGGCAAGGUCAUAUAGGAUUAUGGGCCAAGGUCAGGACUUUGGCCUAUACUCUAAGUGAGAGGGAAACUACAGUUGGAUUUUGAGCAGAGGAAUGACUGACAUGAUCUGACUUGCAUGUUUCCAGGACCUCUCUGGCUUCUGGGUGGAGACAGGAGGCUCUUGCAAUAAUCUAGGCAAUAGGUCAUGGUGGUUGGAUCAAGGUGGUGGGAAGUGGUGGAUUUCUGGAUAUAUUUUCAAGGUUGAGCUGUUAGAAUUUGCUGAUGAAUUGGCUGUGGGGUGUGAGAGAAAGAUAGGAGUAAAAGUUGACACUUAGGUUUUUGGUUUUAGCAGCAGGAAAGUGGGGAAAAACUGCAGGAAGAGUGUGGAGAAGAUGGAGAGUGUGGUAUGGACAUAUUAGGAUUUGAGAAUUACAAGUGGAGAUGUGUCAAGCUAUGCAGCUGGAUUUGCUAGUCCAUGGUUCAAAGGAGAGGUAGGGAAAAUCUUCAGAAAAUAAAUACUCAAAACCUAUAAAGCCUGCUUACUUCUUAAAGGACGAAGGAGAAGCCCUUUAAUACGACAUCUAGGAUUUUCUAUGGGUUGGUUUUAGCCUCAUCUCUCAUUGAGCUCCUACACCCAAGGUUUCAAUCACUGAUAUUUUUCAAAACCCCUUGCCCUUUCAUGCUUCAUUGUCUCUACUUGUGUUGCUCCCUCCACCUGGAGUAUGCAUCCCUCCCUUGCCACCAAAAUCCUAUUCAUCCUUCAAGGCCUGUGAGCCUCUUCUCAUUGCUUUAGUUGAAAUCCAUCAUCCCCUCCUCUGUGCUCCCAGGUAGACAGGUGGUGUGUUCUCCAUCUACCUUAUAUCUGACUACUUGUGUUUGUCUAUAUCUCUACUAGAUUGUGAGUUCCUUGAGAGUAGGGAAGGACCAUGGUUCAUUGGUCCUUAUAUCUCGAAGAUGUCUCCAAGAUGGAGACAGAAAGGGGUGUGAUCCUGAAAAUCAGAAUCCUCAGUCUGUCAGUUUACCACUACUGGUUUUGAGGUAGAAAUGCAUGAAGACAUGGCCAGACAAGAGUACACUAUUGAUGACUACACGUUGUUGGCCAAAACCCGCAUGUGGAACCCAUAGCCCAGGGAGCUCGCUUCACCAGGUGAGAGUCACCGUUUCUUCUUUGCCUCCUGAGGAGCUCAAGGAUUAGACUAAAAACUGGCUUCCUUGGUCCCUUUCUCACACCCAAGGCUUGAACACUGUGUGUGAAGGCAAGAGGGCAAGGACAAUUGAAUCUAACAGGGAGAUGGUCCAGGGAAAUACAACUUAGAGCAGAGCUGGUCUAAGUUAACCUCUGAGGCAUUGGGAGAUGGAGGUGGUAGGAAGUUGAAGGCUUAACUUAUCACACUAACCAAAUAUAGGGACAUAGUCUGGAAAUUGAGGGACUAGAUAGGAGGGGAGAGAGCCAGGCAGGGAUGCAGGAGCAUUUGACCUGUUGCUUAUUGCACAGAAUCUCCUGUGCUGCAUCAUGGUCCAGUAGUGCUCUAAGCAGUGUCCCACACCAGUGCACCUCCUCCUUGGCAAUGAGCUGCAAUGAGGAGAGCCUGAUUCCACCACGAGAUGGAGCCUGCCCCUGCAUCUGGCCCUGAUUUUCACCUAGCAGGUGCUGAGUAAGUUUUCAUUGGAUUUGCCAAAUUGGAUAAAUCCUCAGGAAUGCACAUGUAUUCCCAAUGGAAAGACUUAGGGGUUUCUCUGUGUCAAUGACAGCAAGUGUGAUAGAAAUCUAAGGUUCUCCUGCAAUCCUAGUAUAAGACAUAGUAUAGUGUAGUGGGCAAGAGUGAGGGCUCUGGAGCUGUGUGAUCUUGGACAAGUUAACCUUCCAGGGCCUCAGUUUCCUCAUCCAUAAAAUGGGAGUAAUGAUAUUUCUCACCUCAGAAUUUUUUUGAAUUAACUAAAUGAGUUAAUACUUGUAAAUACUUAUAACAGUGCUGGGCACAUAGUGAAUGUUGGAUAUGUUCUAGCUAUUUUACAAGUGUGGGUUAGCUAUAGAAUGUCAGAGAGUCGUAUGUCAGAGGAUGUCUCUAGGUCUUUGUUCUAAAAAGGUUUAAAAUUUCUGAGGAAGAAAGAUUUAGAUUUUUAUCAUGCUGUCAGUCUCUUCUACCUGAAUAUUUUACCUGAAUAUGCAGCCCAUAUCCUGGCAGCAAACAUGACUCUUCUUAUCCAGAGGGACGACCAUUAUUGGAGCUGGUUAUGGGGCUGAUAUUUAGGCAGCUGCCUUUUGGCAUGAUCCCAAGUGAAAUGUUUGAGCUGGCUCUUCCCUCAGACUCAGAAGUCACCUGCUAAUGUGAACUUCAAUGGUCCUGGGAUGCUCAGCUGGAAUCUCUGGCUUGUGUCACACCAAGCAGGUGGUCCGGGACCAAAGGGACAGUAAUUGGCAACAAUGGUUGUUGGAAGGUUACCAAGGCCCGGGAACAUUCUCAUUGGUUGUGUGUGUGUGUGUGUGUGUGUGUGUGUGUGUGGUCUCUGCAGAUGGGUAAAAAGGGUCAUACUAGGAAUCCCUGAAGCAGUAUUUUCUUCUCAACUUUCCUGGCUUUCAUUGUUCAGAAUUUCAUUUUUGUCUUGGUAGUUUAAGGAUCUUUUCAGUACAUCCUUCUGCUCUUUUCUCCCUCCUAUUAAUAUUUGUCUGACCAGUUAGAACUGUGACCUGGGAAUCCUACAUGCCUUUCUGAUGGUAUCCUUUUAACUUUUUUAUUUACCUUUUUAAACUACAUUUCCCCCCAUUUCUAUGAGGAUCAUCCUUGAGCAGUGAAAACUCUUGAUGGUAAGAGGUGUCUGGGAGGGGCAGAGGGACUCUCAGGUAAAUAAAGACUUUUGUUUUGCUGCCUGAUUAAUUAAACCUCCCCUCUCCCUAUAUUCCAGUGUCAAUGACUCCUGUCACUUUCUGAAUUCCAAGAGGAGAAUUUACUUUUGCAAUCAGAAAAAAAAAUCAAUGCUCAAAGGUCUCUCUUUUUUUAACCCUAUUUAGUUGGAUCAGUUAUAAUCUUUUAUUUCCUGUGAUAGAUUUUACACACGAAUAUUCAUUCAACAAAUAUUUACUAAGUGUCUGCUGGGGCAAGACCCAGUUCUAGCGUUGAAGGGGAAUAUAAAAUAUAUAAUACAUUUCUAUCUAUCUACACAUAUGAUGUACAUUAUACUCUAACUAGGGGGGACACAGCAUAUGCAAAAGUGGGGGACCAUACUGAAGAAAAAGUUGAGAAACAGUGCUUAGAACCUCAUGACUUUUGCUCAGUUUGUUAUAAAGAAACUUUUUUUUUUCUUACAGGGAGGAAAUAAUUCUGAUGUCACUGAAAUGUGUGAAGAUUCAUCCCUCCCCCGAGGGAGGCCAAUCCCCCACAGAGUUCUGACAUAGGAUGCGUUGAUCACAGCGGCCUCUGCCCAGCAAUGUUUACCCAGGAGGCAGCCUGGUAUCAUCAUGGAAGGAGUGAAAGAGUUGAAGCCGGAAGAUCUACAGAGUGUGGAGAGGAGGCUGCCACAUUGCACAGUUUCAGAGAGCUGGUGAAGACCCUGUGCAUCUUGUCUAGGAGGGUCUCUGCCCAGACCCCUGCACCUGUCGCCUCCCCUCUACCCUCACCAGCCUCUGGACUGAGGACUCAUGUAUUCCCUCCACCUCCAAGCUCUGCUCCACUGGUCCCUGGGUUACUCCUGACUGUGAAGGAACUGCUGUGAGACUGAGUUCUUGAGUGCCUGGUACCCAGUCUACUCAAUGAGUGUGUGUUUCUGCUGUGCUGGGAGGGAUGUCUGGUAUUCAGUUUUUCUUCUGGUGGAUUGGGCCCUGAACACCUGAGAAGGCUCCAGGCAGCAGUCUCUGAAUACCACUGAGUUAGUUCAUAAUUGGACUUCUGCCUCAGUUUCCCUGCUUAAUAUUCCAGUUACCUGCUGAGGCUGGAGUUCUGCCCAGAAACUCCAGUACCCGCUGUUUACUGAGUGCCUGAGACAGCAUCAGGGUGCGGAGGAUGGUGUAAAAGAUAAAAAAUAAACACACCAGAAGAACUGGCCCGUGAUUACAUACAUUUGAGUGUUUGUAGUAAUUUAAUGUGUUGAAUUAUCAUUAGUAUUUUGAAAAUGUGAAAAUCGUCGUUUUCAUUACUUCAAAGGAGAAGAUGAUGCUUAUUAUAAAUAUGACACUUAAGUAAUUUCAUGCUUUAUUAAAAAUUUUGAUCUUGUAGGUGUCAACAAUUGCUUCUUUCUUUUUCCAGUUGACAGAUAGCAGUUUGAAUAUUCAUUACAUUUUUAUGUUACAAAAUCCACAUGAGAUAAAAACUGGCACUGGUUCCCAAGAUGAAACAGAGUCCAAAGUUCUUAAUUUGACACUCAAAGCCUCUCACCAUCCAGCUCCAACCUCCUGCCACUGCUCCUUUCCACGUUCUCCACCCUUAGGCUUUCUCCUCUAUGUUUGUGCUCAAACCAUCCCCUUUGCCUGGAAUGUCCUCCCCCUUCGUCUUUAUAUGCCAUCAUUCUCUUCCAUGAAGACCUCUUCUCUUCUGUUUCCAUUGGCUUGCCCCUUUUCUCCUCUGGCUUUGAAUUCUUCCUCUACCCCUGGUUCCUCAUUUUCUAUCUUCUUCUUUAGCAUCUUUCACUUGGACCCCUGCUCAGACUCAUGUUCUCAUAAAACAGCUGUGUAUAGCUAACAUUGAUUUUUGAGGUCUAGCCUAGAAAACUAAUGAAAAAAUUGUCUUCCUGAUUGUACAGUUAAAAGAGUUUCUUUUUAGACUGGGGAAAUAUGGAAAGUAUGAAGAGCACAAGGGUUUCCACCAGCUGUGGAGGAAUGGUCAAGAGCGCAGGCAAGUUACUUAGCCUCUCUGAGCCUUAGUAUUCUCAUCUGUGAAAUGGAAGUGAUACACCCUGUCUCACUGGCUCACUGUGAAUAUUGCAUGACUGUUAUGUGUAAAAUGCCCAGGAGAGUUUCUGAUGAGCAAUAAGCACUACUCCUUACUUGGUAACUAUUGUUAUUAUAACAACCAUGGUAACAUUUUCAAACUCUUAUUUAUACUGUUAUUAAAAAUACUUCAUAAAUUCCAGCCAGCAAUCUUUCAGGCAAAAUUCAGAUCCUUUUCGUUUUCAAGCUGGAGGCUGCUU